rnacentral:tRNA from 1 species
CCUUGGGUAAUGCAAAUGGUUAGCACAUUUGGCUGCUAACCAAAAGGUUGAAGGUUCGAGUCCACCCAGAGGC